rnacentral:rRNA from 1 species
AAUGAACGCUGGCGGCGUGCUUAACACAUGCAAGUCGUACGAGAAAUCCUUGGCUUGCCAGGGAGAGUAAAGUGGCGCACGGGUGAGUAUCGCGUGGGUAAUCUACCCCUGGAUUCAGGAUAACACUUCGAAAGGGGUGCUAAUACUGGAUAACAUCCUGAUGGUUUAGGCCAUAAGGAUCAAAGAUAGCCUCUACAUGUAAGCUAUUGUACAGGGAUGAGCCCGCGUACCAUUAGCUAGUUGGUGGGGUAAGGGCCUACCAAGGCAACGAUGGUUAGCUGGUCUGAGAGGAUGAUCAGCCACACUGGAACUGAAACACGGUCCAGACUCCUACGGGUGGCAG